AUUGAACGCUGGCGGCAGGCUUAACACAUGCAAGUCGAGCGGGGGAAGGUAGCUUGCUACCGGACCUAGCGGCGGACGGGUGAGUAAUGCUUAGGAAUCUGCCUAUUAGUGGGGGACAACAUCUCGAAAGGGAUGCUAAUACCGCAUACGUCCUACGGGAGAAAGCAGGGGAUCUUCGGACCUUGCGCUAAUAGAUGAGCCUAAGUCGGAUUAGCUAGUUGGUGGGGUAAAGGCCUACCAAGGCGACGAUCUGUAGCGGGUCUGAGAGGAUGAUCCGCCACACGGGGACUGAGACACGGCCCAGGCUCCUACGGGAGGCAGCAGUGGGGAAUAUUGGACAAUGGGGGGAACCCUGAUCCAGCCAUGCCGCGUGUGUGAAGAAGGCCUUAUGGUUGUAAAGCACUUUAAGCGAGGAGGAGGCUACUUUGGUUAAUACCUAGAGAUAGUGGACGUUACUCGCAGAAUAAGCACCGGCUAACUCUGUGCCAGCCGCCGCCGUAA
rnacentral:rRNA from 1 species